rnacentral:rRNA from 1 species
UACGUAGGUGGCAAGCGUUGUCCGGAAUUAUUGGGCGUAAAGCGCGCGCAGGCGGUCCUUUAAGUCUGAUGUGAAAGCCCACGGCUCAACCGUGGAGGGUCAUUGGAAACUGGGGGACUUGAGUGCAGAAGAGGAAAGCGGAAUUCCACGUGUAGCGGUGAAUGCGUAGAGAUGUGGAGGAACACCAGUGGCGAAGGCGGCUUUCUGGUCUGUAACUGACGCUGAGGCGCGAAAGCGUGGGAGCAAACAGG